UUACGACUACAUCAGGUUGAAACACCGCUUCCCGUUCGAUCUCCGAAGUUAAGCAACGACGAGCCUGGUCAGUACCUAGAUGGGUGACCAUUUGGGAAUAUCUGGUGCUGUAAG